rfam:Stenotrophomonas sp. BIIR7 sctg_0003_0001, whole genome shotgun sequence.
GGGGGUGCAUUGGUUUCGACGAGGGUUGUGAAGUUACUUGGUGCAUGCCGAGGGGGCAGCUUUCCUCGUAAAUCCAGCGGCAAAACUCUAGUUGCCAACGACGACAACUACGCUCCGGUCGCUCUCGCAGCCUAAAAGCUGUUUGAGUUACCUUCUGCCGACUUAGGCGGAGCCCCGAACCCACUUGUGUCCGUGCUCGUCGGUGUAGGGUCAUUAUCAUGGAAUCGGUUGUGAUGGCUGCCUGUCAGUCACGACCUAACCUAAAGCAGGCUGAUCCUGGAGUGCGUUUCGCACACCGUACUUCUUCAGGACGACACCGAACGGUGAGCUAAGCAUGUAGAACCGGGGAUGGAGUGCCUUCGGACGGCGGUUCAAUUCCGCCCACCUCCACCA